GAUGAACGCUGGCGGCGUGCCUAAUACAUGCAAGUCGAGCGAACGGACGAGAAUCUUGCUUCUCUGAUGUUAGCGGCGGACGGGUGAGUAACACGUGGAUAACCUACCUAUAAGACUGGGAUAACUUCGGGAAACCGGAGCUAAUACCGGAUAAUAUUUUGAACCGCAUGGUUCAAAAGUGAAAGACGGUCUUGCUGUCACUUAUAGAUGGAUCCGCGUUGCAUUAGCUAGUUGGUAAGGUAACGGCUUACCAAGGCAACGAUGCAUAGCCGACCUGAGAGGGUGAUCGGCCACACUGGAACUGAGACACGGUCCAGACUCCUACGGGAGGCAGCAGUAGGGAAUCUUCCGCAAUGGGCGAAAGCCUGACGGAGCAACGCCGCGUGAGUGAUGAAGGUCUUCGGAUCGUAAAACUCUGUUAUUAGGGAAGAACAUAUGUGUAAGUAACUGUGCACAUCUUGACGGUACCUAAUCAGAAAGCCACGGCUAACUACGUG
rnacentral:rRNA from 1 species